AAGACUUUAAGUUAAAAAAACUUUAUACCUUCAAAGUAUAAAUUACAUAUUAGUAAGUCUUA
rnacentral:tRNA from 1 species